AGUGAACGCUGGCGGCAGGCCUAACACAUGCAAGUCGAGCGGCAGCGCGUCCGACCACCCUCGGGUGGUCGGAUGGCGGCGAGCGGCGGACGGGUGAGGAAUGCAUCGGAAUCUGCCUCGUUGUGGGGGAUAACGUAGGGAAACUUACGCUAAUACCGCAUACGACCUACGGGUGAAAGUGGGGGACCUUCGGGCCUCACGCGAUGAGAUGAGCCGAUGCCGGAUUAGCUAGUUGGCGGGGUAAAGGCCCACCAAGGCGACGAUCCGUAGCUGGUCUGAGAGGAUGAUCAGCCACACUGGAACUGAGACACGGUCCAGACUCCUACGGGAGGCAGCAGUGGGGAAUAUUGGACAAUGGGGCAACCCUGAUCCAGCCAUGCCGCGUGUGUGAAGAAGGCCUUCGGUUGUAAAGCACUUUUGUUGGGUAAGAACCGGACCGGGUAAUACCCUGGUUGAAUGACGGUACCCAAAGGAAUAAGCAACCGGCGUAACUUCGUGCCAGCAGCCGCGGUAAACAACG
rnacentral:rRNA from 1 species